UGUAAAUGAAGCAUCUGAGAUUGGAGUAAGUGGACAGUAAAACAUUGCAAACUGCAAGCCAAGUGCUGACGGAAAUACAAUGUCAGGUCUCCGAGAAUGCAGCCCUCUAUAAAUUGUGACUCGUCGCACUUAGGGAAGGCUGUGUGGGGAAGCUGACCCUGCAAGGCAUGAUGGACACUGAUUCUGAGAAAAAGGGCACUUCUGUCAGUGAGACAAGGAGAAUGAAAAGCAUUAAAAGACUACAUGCAAGAAUCACCAGACAGUGGCCAGGAGCACCUCCUUCCGUCUCCUUUACACCCAGACACUUCAUGCUUCUUGGAUUUAAAAACUGGACUCCAAAGGACAACAGCUGCACGUAUGACUUUUCAAACAGCUGACAUACAUCACUGGGCACACAGGAACCAAACCCUGCAGAAAUCUUUACAAAAUUCUUAGGUAUAGUCUGCUGAAAGAAAUGGUUAAAAAGAAGAGGCAAGAAAGCAACUUGAGGUUUGGGGAGUCUUCCUAGAAGAAUCGCUAAGCAGACAGCAUAGGGGUGGGAGGAAUUCUAAAGGCUGGGGACAAAAGCCCAGGUCUGGAAAUAGUUACUCUAUUUCAAGAUGUGUCCUGCAGAACUGUACUUUACAAGAAGUUAAUUACACUUGUGAAAGCUGCAAUCAUUCUGUGAUUAUCUAUGUUCUCACUAAAUCCCUAGGAGAGCAAGGGAUCAGUGUGUCACAUUAAGAAAAAUGUAAACCAAACAAGGUAUAAAAACAGAUGUGAAAGCAACAAAUCCAUGCAAAACAGUCUUCACUACUACUGGUUAUACAGCAUCUAGUUUAAUUUUUUAGAACUACUCCUAGGAUAUAUUGACAUAGAUCACUUUCUCAUCAAAAGUUAACUCAAAUUAUCAUUCCAUUCUCAAAAAAGUCAUGUGAUUCUAUAAAUCAAGAUAAGACCUGAAACCAAAACUACCCUACAAAUAUAUACCACCUGUCAAGGAAAACAAAGGUCUUAUUAUCACCUUAUUGCCAAAGAUAAAUGAUUAAUAACUGAUGUUUUAAGUAUCCACUCUUAAACUUAGAUACUAUAAAUAUGCCUGGAGACCCCCCAAAUAAUAUUUUUAUCAAUAUUUUAAAAUGGGUUUUAGCCCAAAAUAUUGUAAAUAAAAUAUACUGAUUUUCUUUUUCCUUAGGAAAAGUCUGAAAU